UCCUACGGGAGGCAGCAGUAAGGGAUCUUGCGACAAUGGGCGAAAGCCUGACGCAGCAACGCCGCGUGCGGGAUGACGGCCUUCGGGUUGUAAACCGCUUUUCGGGGGGAAGAGGAAGGACGGUACCCCCGGAAUAAGUCUCGGCUAACUACGUGCCAGCAGCCGCGGUAAUA
rnacentral:rRNA from 1 species